UACGUAGGGGGCAAGCGUUGUCCGGAUUUAUUGGGCGUAAAGAGCGUGUAGGCGGCUUGGUAGGUCCGCUGUGAAAACUCGAGGCUCAACCUCGAGAUGUCGGCGGAAACCACUUGGCUAGAGUCCGGAAGGGGCGAGUGGAAUUCCUGGUGUAGCGGUGAAAUGCGCAGAUAUCAGGAGGAACACCAAUGGCGAAGGCAGCUCGCUGGGACGUGACUGACGCUGGAGACGCGAAAAGCGUGGGGAGCAAACAGG
rnacentral:rRNA from 1 species